GCCUGCUCCACCCUAGAGAGAGUCAGAAAAUGCCAGUCAGAUGUUAUUUGGACAGUGUAUCACUGCAGUUACACCAACUUCUGUAUGCCUGUAACAUAAAAGAGGACAGCAAAGCCAGGAACUGCUGGAACAGUGGCAGGACAAAAACUGAAGAGAAAUGUGUUUCACAUGGAAACCGAAUAAAAAAAAUAAGACAAAUGUUACUAGGUUAACCCCAAAGUCCUUGAAACCUAUAGUUAAGCUGUGAAUCAGAUACAGAUUUCUGAGAUAACAUUUCAGAAGUCAGCGAAGUUUGGUGCCUCUGUUGUGGAGGCAAUUGCAGCCUGGCUAGAAAGCUGGCAAUGCCUUCCCUUCUGAGAAGUAAAAAGUCAUGUCCAAAUAUGAUGAUCCCUAGUUUGUGUUAAAUUUUUGCUUAUAUUGCUGUAAAUUUCUUAUGAUAAUUCAUGCCAUUUUACCAAAGGCUAAAACACAUUAUAAAACCUCAGAUAAUACUUUUAUUUAAGAGCUUCCUUUCCACUUGUUGAUAGUCAUGGAGUGGGUAUACAGCUCCACAUUACUGAAAGUAAGUCUUCCUUACCUUCUCAUACAUGAUUUUCAAAUGGGAAGCCUUCCAUGAUGAAAAUUAAAAAGUGAACAUAUUGUUGCCACAAUAUGUCACUGAGGCUAAAAAACCAGUAAGAAUCAAACUGGGCUAGGCAUAAGGAAAAUAACUGUAGUUCUAAAGAACCGGGUGCCAAAGGUAUAAGGGACAGGGUACCCGCUUCACCCUCCCACUGUCCGAUAAGGACCAGGCAGAAAUGUGCGCUCUCUUGGCACACAGCUGCCUAAAAUCUGACAGAGGUCCCGCGGGUGCCCGCAGUCUGCCCGGCGCUGACAGAGGCAGCCUGAGCCGCAUGGACUACUGUUACCAUCUGGUGUGGCAACUCCUGUAUGAAUAAUUUAAAACCAGAAGCUGGGAGAUGAGCUCAGCAGCAGCUUUUCCUUGACCUCUGCAGAUCUGUGAUGCUCGGCGCUAACUGCUGGCCCAGAGGAAGCAUGCAGCAGACCGGACUUCCUCCUCCUGUUUUGCAGCAGUCCUAUCAAUUAGGGUAAGAUCUCACAGGAUCAAGGAAGGGGAGAACCCACUUUGGACCUAUGUAUAUCUCUUCCAAAACAGAGUGGAAGAUGCUCAUGCAUAGCAUGAGUAAAUGGUUGCAUUGACCGCAACCCACCUGGCAGCCUGCUGAGCUACAGUGCUUUGUAAUUCACCAGGAGCUCCCCAUGGGAUCCAUAGCUGCUCCACAGUCUGAAAAUAGUCUGCUGCUCUCAUGGACACAACCGAAUGAGACUGCUAGCUGCUUGCGUGAAUGCUGCACAAACUUUUUUUUCCUUUCUUGAAUAGAAACAACAAAAAAGAGGCCAAUGUGCAAAUGCAUCGUGGGACAUCAUGGCACCACCAAGUCUGUAACUACACAUUGUGAUAUAGCACUUUCCACAAACACAGACAUCUGAAUACAGAUUAAAAUAGCUGUUCAUAAGAGCACUGCUCUGAUUUCUGCCAACUAUGUAGCCUACUGCAAAACAGGAUGAAGAGCAAUACUUUAAAGAACACUGAAAUAAAGAAACAUUCCAGCUUUCACUGAAAAUUUCAGGGAGUUCUUACUUCUUCCGGAGCUGCUCAUACAGUGAGAACUGCAGUAGUUUUAGAAAACAAACUGAAAGACGGUCAGAAGAUGGGCUGGGUAUAUAGAGCCAUUCACCACACAGCAUGGGGAUUUUACCCCUUUCCUGUGCCUAUUGGACCCAGAGAUGUAAGGAAAAUAAUGGGUUUUGAGCCCCGCUUCUGAGGUUUGAAGGGUGCAGCUGCACGGGGCAGGCCGCGCUGCACAGGUCCCUGCG